rnacentral:lncRNA from 1 species
GCUCAAUGCAAGGUCCGCCUCCUGGGUUCACCCCAUUCUCCUGCUUCAGUCUCCUGAGUAGCUGGGACUACAGAUGCCCGCCACCACGCCUGGCUAAUUUUGUUUUUGUACUUUUAGUAGAGAUGGGGUUUCACCGUGUUAGCCAAGAUGGUCUUAAUCUUCUGACCUUGUGAUCCGCCCACCUCGGCCUCCCAAAGUGUUGGGAUUACAGGCAGGAGCCACCGCACCUGGCCUCAACUUCUUUUUUAACUUAUGAAUUGUUUAUUUCCGGAAUUUUCCAUUUAAUAUUUUUGAACCACAGCUGACUGAGGGUAAGUAAAACCAUGAAAAGUGAAAGCAUGGAUAAGGUGGAACUACUGUGCAUGUGUAUGUGUGUGUGUGUAUGUGUGUAUAGAUAUAUCUAUAUACAUAUAUGUAUAUACUAUAUAAAUGUAUAUAUCUAUGUAUACUCAUACGUGUUUAUAGAUAUACAUUCUGUGUAAACUAGACUAUGCGUUCUUUAACACUUAGAAAUGAAGCACGAUCAACUUUAAAACAUAAUGCCAACUGGCUUCCAGGAGUUGCAUUUUUGAUUUAAGAACAAGUCUUGUUUAAUUCUUUAACAGCAUGCACCAGAUCUGUCAUUUCUGGAAUCUUGUGCGAAUUGUGUAUCAACUUGAGGGGCCACUCACGGACUUGUCAUCUGCUCUCACCAGGACUUCAGAGGAUCUCAAUGCUGCUGUUCUCACAGCCUGACAGGGACAAAAUAACAGGAAACUUGCAAAUUUGUCUUUAUUCUUGCUUAUGGUAUGGCUAGAAAAUGUUUGAAUUAAUAUGAGAAAUAUAAAGAUCUAUCAUAACCUCCUUUUUUGUAGGUGGGGCUACUUUUCCUUCCUUAAUAGUUACCCUUCUGCUGAGGCCCCCUAUGGGAAACACCAAUCUUUAAGGGACUUAAUCCCUUUUUCCAAACUUCCCUGGGCCAGUGCCCAAAUGGUCUAUACAUUGUCUGUUAAAUCAAAGAAACCAGCUUUCUUGUUUUUCUCUAUGGUUUCUUCCCAUGCAAUUGACAUCUUACAGUGCAACAUGGAAAUUUGAAAUAAAGGCACACCAUUGCACAUCUAAGUUGAGAUCUAGAGACGGUGGUUUGGAGUGAAGUUCUAAUUAAUAGGAGAAAUGGGAUUGCUAACUUUGGCUUUUCCCAGGGAUCCUUAAGGUCUGGGACAGAUCCCCCAUUGGUCUAGAGGAGUUAGGGUUAAUUGUAGUCCUGCUUGGAGACAAAGGUACUAAAAUGUGACUACUGGCUUUUUCAGCUAUAAAAUUGAAGAGUCUCUGCAUGGUCUGUUCCAGGCAUCUCCCUGAGCCAGCCCAAGGAACUGCCUUUAGGUCUCUUCCUUAUCCCUUCUCUCUCUCACGCCUUCUUUUGUUCCCUGCCCUUCUUCCUGGCCUCUCUCUCUUACUUUCAUUUCUUCUGGCAAUUAGUGGACAAGCCAGAAGAAAACAAUUAAGAUGGUCAUCAAUUUGGGCAGUAUUCUGUUCACACUUAUUUGAGACUUGUUCUGUAGUAUAUGUGAACAUACUCAGGACGUAAAUGAAAUAGAAUAGUGAGCCAGAAAAUUGUGAUAAAUAAAGGUGCUUCUACCCAUAUUUUGUUUACAUUCUGGGUGGUGCAUGAGAUUAAAAGCUGUGAGACUUUGCAAAUAGAAUGAGGUAGAUGACUAGUUUUUGCUGUGCAUAAGGUCAACAAUAUCACCCAACAAAUAGCCAGCUCCUUGCCACACUCCCUUCCUUCAUUCUAGUCAUCUAUCUUACAAGCAUAAUUGAAUUAGAUCCUCAUAAAAGUCUUACAAGGCACAUACUACUGAUGGUAGUGGAGGCCUGUCUGGAGCGGCUGCUGCCAUGAUGCUGGCUUCAGGGGGUGAGGCAUGGCCAGGGCUGCACACUCCAAAGAGCCAGCAGGAGCCGGGAAAAGGCAGAAGCCCUGGCAGGGCAGGAACCUUGUGCUCCCUGGGAGCAGCUGCGGCCAUCCAGCUGUGGCUGUGGACCUGGGCAUCCCUGUGCUCUUGGGAGCUGGGAUUGGGCAGGAGCCCUGCCCUUCUGGAGUGUAG